AACGCACAUUGCGCCCCUUGGUAUUCCAUGGGGCAUGCCUGUUCGAGCGUCAUUUGUACCCUCAAGCUCUGCUUGGUGUUGGGUGUUUGUCCCGCUCUUCGCGUGGACUCGCCUUAAAACAAUUGGCAGCCGGCAUAUUGGCCUGGAGCGCAGCACAUUUUGCGCCUCUUGUCAUGAUUGUUGGCAUCCAUCAAGACUAUUUUUAACUCUUGACCUCGGAUCAGGUAGGGAUACCCGCUGAACUUAA
rnacentral:misc_RNA from 1 species